UACGUAGGGUGCGAGCGUUAAUCGGAAUUACUGGGCGUAAAGCGUGCGCAGGCGGCUAUGCAAGACAGGUGUGAAAUCCCCGGGCUUAACCUGGGAACUGCACUUGUGACUGCAUGGCUAGAGUGCGUCAGAGGGAGGUGGAAUUCCGCGUGUAGCAGUGAAAUGCGUAGAGAUGCGGAGGAACACCGAUGGCGAAGGCAGCCUCCUGGGAUGACACUGACGCUCAUGCACGAAAGCGUGGGGAGCAAACAGG
rnacentral:rRNA from 1 species